UACGGGGGGGGGCAAGCGUUUGUUCGGAAUUACUGGGCGUAAAGAGCUCGUAGGUGGUUUGUCGCGUUUGUCCGUGAAAACUCACAACUCAAUUGUGGGCGUGCGGGCGAUACGGGCAGACUGGAGUACUGCAGGGGAGACUGGAAUUCCUGGUGUAGCGGUGGAAUGCGCAGAUAUCAGGAGGAACACCGGUGGCGAAGGCGGGUCUCUGGGCCUUACCUGACGCUGAGACGCGAAAGCGUGGGGAGCGAACCGG
rnacentral:rRNA from 1 species